rnacentral:rRNA from 1 species
GAUGAACGCUAGCGGCAGGCUUAACACAUGCAAGUCGAGGGGUAUAGUUCUUCGGAGCUAGAGACCGGCGCACGGGUGCGUAACGCGUAUGCAAUCUACCUUUUGCAGAGGGAUAGCCCAGAGAAAUUUGGAUUAAUACCUCAUGGUAUGUGAGAAUGGCAUCAUUUUCACAUUAAAGUCACAACGGCAAAAGAUGAGCAUGCGUCCCAUUAGCUAGUUGGUAAGGUAACGGCUUACCAGGGCAACGAUGGGUAGGGGACCUGAGAGGGAGAUCCCCCACACUGGUACUGAGACACGGACAAGACUCCUACGGGAGGCAGCAGUGAGGAAUAUUGGACAAUGGGCGCAAGCCUGAUCCAGCCAUGCCGCGUGCAGGAUGACGGUCCUAUGGAUUGUAAACUGCUUUUGUACAGGAAGAAACACUGGUUCGUGAACCAGCUUGACGGUACUGUAAGAAUAAGGAUCGGCUAACUCCGUGCCAGCCGCCGCGGUAACAC